rnacentral:rRNA from 1 species
UGAGGAAUAUUGCACAAUGGGCGCAAGCCUGAUGCAGCGACGCCGCGUGUGGGAUGAAGGGGCUACGCCUCGUAAACCACUGUAGCCCGGGACGAAAAACGCCUUAGAGGCGUUAGACGGUACCGGGAAAGUAAGGGUCGGCUAACUCCGUGCCAGCAGCCGCGGUAAUACGGAGGGUGCAAGCGUUAUCCGGAUUUACUGGGUUUAAAGGGUGCGUAGGCGGAUGAAUAAGUCAGUGGUGAAAUCUCCGGGCUUAACUCGGAAACUGCCGUUGAUACUAUUUGUCUUGAAUAUUGUGGAGGUAAGCGGAAUAUGUCAUGUAGCGGUGAAAUGCUUAGAUAUGACAUAGAACACCAAUUGCGAAGGCAGCUUGCUACACAAUCAUUGACGCUGAGGCACGAAAGCGUGGGGAUCAAACA